rnacentral:lncRNA from 1 species
CAUCUAUGGACCCUCCACCCCCAUCCACACACACACAUAAGCACAACUCUGUGCAAAACAUCUGGUAUAGAUCAGGAGGAACUAAAAAGCAGCACUCUCCAACACGUACUCACUCCAGUAUUUACUUGUCUCUAUUUAGAUGUCUGCAGGGAAAGCCACUCUUUCAUAUACCUGGGGGAAGAGAAAGGAAGAAGAGUAUUAAGGAGACAGGAAAAUGCCCAUUUUCUCUGUAUAAGGAUCCUUGGCCAGACGGCAGCUGAGCGCUUUCAUUGAAAGGAUUGCUGUGGAAGGAUGGUGAGUGACGGUCACAGCAAAUCUUCAGAUCAGUCCCUGCAGGAGCCAUGGAGAGGCCAAGGUAACCUUGGAGCACAACCUUUGGGAGAGAGACAUCAGACUGGAAGUUAAUCCAACCUCAGGCUUCAGCCCCUAAUGCCAGGAAGAUAGGGUGUGCCCAGGUGGACAAGAGACAUCACUUCAGAGGUCAGAGAAGAGGCACUGGGGCAUGAGAUGUCAACUCUCCCCACUCGCUGCAUGGAUUCUUGGAUAGGUGAGAUAGA